AGAGUUUGAUCCUGGCUCAGGAUGAACGCUAGCGGCAGGCUUAACACAUGCAAGUCGAGGGGUAACAGAGUAGCUUGCUACUGCUGACGACCGGCGCACGGGUGCGUAACGCGUAUACAAUCUACCUUAUACUGGGGUAUAGCCUUUAGAAAUGAAGAUUAACCCCCCAUAGUCUCUAAGAGUGGCAUCACAUUUAGAGUAAAGGUUACGGUAUAAGAUGAGUAUGCGUUCUAUUAGUUUGUUGGUGAGGUAACGGCUUACCAAGACUACGAUAGAUAGGGGCCCUGAGAGGGGGAUCCCCCACACUGGUACUGAGACACGGACCAGACUCCUACGGGAGGCAGCAGUGAGGAAUAUUGGACAAUGGAGGCAACUCUGAUCCAGCCAUGCCGCGUGUAGGAUGACUGCCCUAUGGGUUGUAAACUACUUUUAUACAGGAAGAAACACCUCUACGUGUAGAGGCUUGACGGUACUGUAAGAAUAAGGAUCGGCUAACUCCGUGCCAGCAGCCGCGGUAAUACGGAGGAUCCAAGCGUUAUCCGGAAUCAUUGGGUUUAAAGGGUCCGUAGGUGGAUAAUUAAGUCAGAGGUGAAAUCUUGCAGCUCAACUGUAAAAUUGCCUUUGAAACUGGUUAUCUUGAGUUAUUAUGAAGUAGUUAGAAUAUGUAGUGUAGCGGUGAAAUGCAUAGAUAUUACAUAGAAUACCAAUUGCGAAGGCAGAUUACUAAUAAUCAACUGACACUGAUGGACGAAAGCGUGGGUAGCGAACAGGAUUAGAUACCCUGGUAGUCCACGCCGUAAACGAUGGUUACUAGCUGUUUGGACUUCGGUCUGAGUGGCUAAGCGAAAGUGAUAAGUAACCCACCUGGGGAGUACGUUCGCAAGAAUGAAACUCAAAGGAAUUGACGGGGGCCCGCACAAGCGGUGGAGCAUGUGGUUUAAUUCGAUGAUACGCGAGGAACCUUACCAGGGCUUAAAUGUAAGUUGCAUUAGUUAGAGAUAGCUAUUUCUUCGGACCACUUACAAGAUGCUGCAUGGUUGUCGUCAGCUCGUGCCGUGAGGUGUCAGGUUAAGUCCUAUAACGAGCGCAACCCCUGUUGUUAGUUGCCAGCGAGUCAUGUCGGGAACUCUAACAAGACUGCCAGUGCAAACUGUGAGGAAGGUGGGGAUGACGUCAAAUCAUCACGGCCCUUACGUCCUGGGCUACACACGUGCUACAAUGGUAGGGACAGAGAGCAGCCACUGGGCGACCAGGAGCGAAUCUAUAAACCCUAUCACAGUUCGGAUCGGAGUCUGCAACUCGACUCCGUGAAGCUGGAAUCGCUAGUAAUCGGAUAUCAGCCAUGAUCCGGUGAAUACGUUCCCGGGCCUUGUACACACCGCCCGUCAAGCCAUGGAAGUUGGAAGUGCCUGAAGUCCGUCACCGCAAGGAGCGGCCUAGGGUAAAGUCGAUAACUAGGGCUAAGUCGUAACAAGGUA
rnacentral:rRNA from 1 species